rnacentral:tRNA from 2 species
ACCUGGCUGGCUCAGUUGGUAGAGCAUAAGCCUUCUGAGCUCUGAGGUGUGGGUUCAAGCCCCACAUUGGGUA